AGCGAACGCUGGCGGCAGGCCUAACACAUGCAAGUCGAACGGAUCCUUCGGGAUUAGCGGCGGACGGGUGAGUAACACGUGGGAACGUGCCUUUUGGUUCGGAACAACUCAGGGAAACUUGAGCUAAUACCGGAUGUGCCCUUCGGGGGAAAGAUUUAUCGCCAUUAGAGCGGCCCGCGUCUGAUUAGCUUGUUGGUGAGGUAAAGGCUCACCAAGGCUACGAUCAGUAGCUGGUCUGAGAGGAUGAUCAGCCACACUGGGACUGAGACACGGCCCAGACUCCUACGGGAGGCAGCAGUGGGGAAUCUUGCGCAAUGGGCGAAAGCCUGACGCAGCCAUGCCGCGUGAAUGAUGAAGGUCUUAGGAUUGUAAAAUUCUUUCACCGGGGACGAUAAUGACGGUACCCGGAGAAGAAGCUCCGGCUAACUUCGUGCCAGCCGCCGCGGUAAAAC
rnacentral:rRNA from 1 species